AUCAUCAGCUCGCAGUGCGGAUGCUGGAGCCGUUCGAAUGUUUGUCAACUCAGGAAUGGACAGGUCUACGGAAGAUUAUGUUAUUAUGGACGAUGUAACUCAUCCGGACCAAAUUCGAG